rnacentral:rRNA from 1 species
UACGUAGGGGGCAAGCGUUGUCCGGAUUUAUUGGGCGUAAAGAGCGUGUAGGCGGCUUGGUAGGUCCGCUGUGAAAACUCGAGGCUCAACCUCGAGAUGUCGGCGGAAACCACUUGGCUAGAGUCCGGAAGAGGAGAGUGGAAUUCCCGGUGUAGCGGUGAAAUGCGCAGAUAUCGGGAAGAACACCUAUGGCGAAGGCAGCUCUCUGGGGACGGUACU